rnacentral:rRNA from 2 species
CGCAGCGGUUUCUUAAGUCUGAUGUGAAAUCCCCCGGCUCAACCGGGGAGGUUCAUUGGAAACUGGGAAGCUUGAGUGCUGAAGAGGGAGGUAGAAUUCCACGUGUAGCGGUGAAAUGCGUAGAGAUGUGGAGGAACACCGGUGGCGAAGGCGGCUUUUUGGUCUGUAACUGACGCUCAGGCGCGAAAGCGUGGGGAGCAAACAGGAUUAGAUACCCUGGUAGUCCACGCCGUAAACGAUGACUGCUUGGUGUUUGAGGGUUUCCGCCCUUUCUUGCUGCGGCUAACCCAUUAAACACUCCCCCUGGGGAGUACGGUCCCAGGACUGAACCUCAAUGGAUUUGACGGGGGCCCCCCCAACCGGGGAACCUGGGGCUUUAUUUCAAACCACCCCAAAAAACCUUACCAAGCCUUGACUUCCUAUGACUACUCUAAAAAUAUAUGGUUCCCCUUCGGGGGACAAAAUGACUGGUGGUGCAUGGUUGUCGUCUCGUCGUGUCAUGAGAUGUUGGGUUAACUCCCGCAACAAGCGCCCCCCUUGAUCUUUGUUGCCAGCAUUUAGUUGGGCACUCUAGAGUGACUGCCGGUGACAAACCGGAAGAAUGUGGGGAUGACGUCAAAUCAUCAUGCCCCUUAUGACCUGGGCUACACACGUGCUACAAUGGAUGGUACAAAGGGCUGCCCUCCCGCGAGGUCAAGCCAAUCCCAUAAAACCAUUCUCACUUCGAUAUUGUAUCCUGCAACUCACUCUACAUGAUCCUGGAAUCGCUAGUAAUCACAUAUCACAUGCCGCGGUGAAUA